rnacentral:rRNA from 1 species
AUUGAACGCUGGCGGCAGGCCUAACACAUGCAAGUCGAACGAGUGGCGGACGGGUGAGUAAUGUCUGGGAAACUGCCUGAUGGAGGGGGAUAACUACUGGAAACGGUAGCUAAUACCGCAUACCAUCGGAUGUGCCCAGAUGGGAUUAGCUAGUAGGUGGGGUAACGGUUCACCUAGGCGACGAUCCCUAGCUGGUCUGAGAGGAUGACCAGCCACACUGGAACUGAGGCACGGUCCAGACUCCGACGGGAGGCAGCAGUGGGGAAUAUUGCACAAUGGGAGCAAGCCUGAUGCAGCCAUGCCGCGUGUAUGAAGAAGGCCUUCGGGUUGUAAAGUACUUACAGCGGGGAGGCGUUACCCGCAGAAGAAGCACCGGCUAACUCCGUGCCAGCAGCCGCGGUAAUUC